rnacentral:rRNA from 1 species
GGGUGAGUAACACGUAUCCAACCUGCCCUUUACUCGGGGAUAGCCUUUCGAAAGAAAGAUUAAUACCCGAUAGUAUAAUGAUUCCGCAUGGGUUCAUUAUUAAAGGAAUCCGGAAAAGGAUGGGGAUGCGUUCCCUUACGCUGGUGGUGAGGUAACGGCUCACCAAGCCUUCGAUGGAUAGGGGUUCUGAAAGGAAGGUCCCCCACAUUGGAACUGAGACACGGCCCCAACUCCUACGGGAGGCAGCAGUGAGGAAUAUUGGUCAAUGGGCGCUAGCCUGAACCAGCCAAGUAGCGUGAAGGAUGAAGGCUCUAUGGGUCGCACACUUCUUUUAUAUAACAAUAAAGUGCAGUAUGUAUACUGAUUUGUAUGUAUUAUAUGAAUAAGGAUCGGCUAACUCCGUGCUCCCAGCCGCGGUAAUACAGAGGAUCCGAGCGUUAUCCGGAUUUAUUGGGUUUAAAGGGAGCGGAGGUGGACUGCUAAGUCACUUGUGAAAGUUUGCGGCUCAACCGUACAAUUGCAGUUGAUACUGUCAGUCUUGAGUACAGUAGAGGUGGGCGGAAUUCGUGGAGUACCGGUGAAAUGCUUAUAUAUCACGAACAACUCCGAUUGCUAAUGCAGCUCACUGGACUCGCACUGACACUGAAGCUCGAAAGUGGGGGUAUCAAACAGGAUUAGAUACCCUGGUAGUCCACACAGUAAACGAUGAAUACUCGCUGUUUGCGAUAUACAGUAAGCGGCCAAGCGAAAGCAUUAAGUAUUCCACCUGGGGAGUACGCCGGCAACGGUGAAACUCAAAGGAAUUGACGGGGGCCCGCACAAGCGGAGGAACAUGUGGUUUAAUUCGAUGAUACGCGAGGAACCUUACCCGGGCUUAAAUUGCAGUGGAAUGAUGUGGAAACAUGUCAGUGAGCAAUCACCGCUGUGAAGGUGCUGCAUGGUUGUCGUCAGCUCGUGCCGUGAGGUGUCGGCUUAAGUGCCAUAACGAGCGCAACCCUUAUCUUCAGUUACUAACAGGUCAUGCUGAGGACUCUGGAGAGACUGCCGUCGUAAGAUGUGAGGAAGGUGGGGAUGACGUCAAAUCAGCACGGCCCUUACGUCCGGGGCUACACACGUGUUACAAUGGGGGGUACAGAAGGCAGCUAGCGGGUGACCGUAUGCUAAUCCCAAAAUCCUCUCUCAGUUCGGAUCGAAGUCUGCAACCCGACUUCGUGAAGCUGGAUUCGCUAGUAAUCGCGCAUCAGCCACGGCGCGGUGAAUACGUUCCCGGGCCUUGUACACACCGCCCGUCAAGCCAUGGGAGCCGGGGGUACCUGAAGUACGUAACCGCAAGGAUCGUCCUAGGGUAAAACUGGUGA